rnacentral:tRNA from 1 species
GGGGCCGUAGUGUAGCCUGGCCUAGCAUUGAGCGUUUGGGACGCUUGGACCCCGGUUCAAAUCCGGGCGGCCCCA